rnacentral:lncRNA from 1 species
AUGAUAAGGCCACAGGCUCCCUGGUCAGUUCUAGAUAAAUGGCUGUCAGUGCAGGCCUACGUUGGCAAUGCUGUCGGGAGCCCUCCCAGAGAGCUUCUUCUGUAUCCUUGCUUAAGAAACUUUUAUUGCUUUGCUCACUCUCUUUUGUCCACAAGAUUCAUUCUUCGACUCCAUGAGACAAGUACCUCGCUCUCCUGCCUCACUACCAGCCUCCAAGGACAGCUUCAGAUGAAGAGCUGUUGGUCCUGCCUCCUGUACUUUCAGAAUAGAGUGCUGGAUGGCAACGAACCUUGCUGUACUCGCAAAGAAUUCUUUUAACUCCCCAGGAAGACCAAAGGAUGAACACAUUUGUUAUCCUGAAAAAGGAAAGAACAGAGUUGUCACAACUCAUUGCUGAGGGGAAUUAAGUAUGUCCUAAGUGACCUAAGUCCUGUGUGACUCCACAGCAAGAAGACUCUUGGAAACGUGUGCCUGCUGUCCCUGGACUUCACCCCAUGUGCUGUUUCCCUUUGUGGAUUUUGUUCUGUAUCCUGUUGCAAUAAAUCACAACUAUGAGGAUAACUAUACACUGUUUUGCUAGUCCUUCUAAUGAAUCACUGAAUUUGGAGGUGGUUCUGGGGACCCUCCAAUACGUAGGCCAAAGGACAGUUAGUGGAGGAAUGGAUAAAGAAAUUGUGGCACAUCCAUAAGGCAGAGUACCACUCAGCAAUAAAGAGCCAUAAACUACUGAAACAUGCAACAAAUUAGAUGGAUCUCAAUGGUAUUACACUUAGAAAAGCCAAAGUCAAGGGUUGCAUACUGUAGGAUUCUAUUACUACGACGUUCAUGAAGUGACAAAAUUAUAGUGCUGGGACAUGGAUCAGUAGUAGUAGAUCCAGGGGAAACACGUGACUAUCAAGGGGUAAUGUGAGAGAGUUUCUUUAUGGUAAUGGAACAGUUCUGCAUGCUGAUGGUCACGAUGGUUAAGUUGAAUCUAUGCUUUUGAUAAGAUUUCACAGAACUAUAUACUCCUUCCUGGCCGCCAUCCCCCCCCAAAGAGUGCCUGUAAAAAGUGGUGAAAUUCCUUUUUUUUCUUUUUAAAGAUUUUAUUUAUUUAUUCAUGAACGACACAGAGAGAGAGGCAGAGACACAGGCAGAGGGAGAAGCAGGUUCCCCCCAUCACCCUGGGAGCCUGAGGCCCCCAGGAUCACAGCCAGAGCUGAAGGCGGAUGCUUAACCACUGAGCCACCCAGGCAUCCUAAAAGUGGUAAAAUUCUAAUAAAUUCUGUAUCUUGGGACACCUGGGUGGCUCAGCGGUUGGGUGCCUGCCUUCAACCCAGGUCGUGAUCCCGGAUCUGGGAUCAAGUCCGCAUAAGGCUCCCUGCAAGGAGCCUGCUUCUCUCUCUGCCUGUGUCUCUGCUUCUCUUUCUCUCUGUGUCUCUCAUGAAUAAAUAAAUACAUCAAAAAAAUUCUGUGUCUCCAUACCUGAAUUAAUAGUGAUUUAACAAAAUCAAUUUUCUGGUUUUGAUCAACUACUCUGGUUAUAUACGAUAUGAUCAUUGUGGAAGCUGAGUAAAGAGUGCAUGGGAACUCUCUGUACGGUUUUUACAAAUUCUUGUGAGUCUGAGAUAAUUUCAAAGUAUAAACACAUUAACAGAAGAGUGAGCAUGUGUGUAUGUGCGUAUGUGUGUGUGUGCAAACUGCCCAAGACUUGCCACAGGAGACAUAUCUUAAAGAAUAAAUGGCAUACUUUCUCUUUGUGCUGCCAGAGAGCAGAAAGGACUCCCUUCUAUUUAAUACCUGCUUGUGUUUUGUCCAUUUUAAAAAUUAAUCACCAAUUAAGUGUAGCAGAAUAUGCCACCCCCAAAUAUGUCACUUUGGCAUAAGGAUUAUUUUGAGCUAAAGGCAAUUGAGAAGAUGUGGAUAUAAGAAAAGCUAUCUGCCUUCCUACUAUUUGCCUAAAACAGGAAAUCCGUUUGUAGAGGUGUCCCCAUCUCCCAUAUCUACCAAGGGACAGAAGUUAGUCAUCAUAGACAACUCUAUACCCUUAUUAGCUCAGAGGAAUCUAGAUAACAAACCUUGCUUAAACUAGCCCUUAUCUACCAUUGAUUUCUUCAUAUAUUCCCUCCCCCAACCUGCAACUCCUAUAAACUUUAAGUCCUUCUGUUUGUUUUGCCAAUUAUUAAAUUAAAUUAAAAUUAUUAUUAUUUUCCAGUAUUAUGCCAAUUAGAAUUAUUAUUAUUAUCCUUCCGUUAAGAUGCUAUAAGGCCCAAGUUCUACCUACUGUUUUGAGUUACUCAUCACUGGCUACUCCCAUUGUAUACAUGAUGCAUGUGUUAAUAAACUUCUGUUUGUUUUUCUCUUGUUAAUCAUUCCUUUGUCAGUCUAACUUACAGGGGUCCAGAAGAAGAACCUAUGAAGAAACAUGAAAAAAAUUAAAAAUUCCCUUCCUUACCCUCAUCUUUUUCUUAUUGAUUUGAAGAAGCUCUGUAUACAAUCUGAAACUCUUCAGAUUUAUGUAUUUCAUCUUCUAUCAAUGUGAUUCAGUUGGUUAAGCAUCUGCCUCCGGCUCGAGGGGUGAUCUCAGGGUCCUGGGAUCGAGCCCUGCAUUGGGCUUUCUGCUCAGCAGGGAGUCUGCUUCUCACUUGCCCUCUGUAUGCUCUCUAUCUCAACUAAAUAAAUAAAAAAUAAAAUCUUAAAAGCAAAAACAUAAACUUAACAUUCAUCACCUAAAAUAAGUAUCUCGUAACUAAUAUAUGCUCAAGAAACAUUUGAUGAAUAAAAGCAAGAGUUUAUGGGGAUGCCUGGGUGGGUUGGCGGUUGAGUGUCUGCCUUUGGCUCAGGGUGUGAUUCCACAGUCCUGGGAUUGAGUCCCACAUUGGGCUUCAUGCAUGGAGCCCGCUUCUCCCUCUGCCUAUGUCUGUGCCUCUCUCUCUGUGUCUGUCAUGAAUAAAUAAAUUAAAAUAUUUUUAAAAAAGCAAGAGUGUAUGAAUGAAAGCAAGGGCCAAAUAAAAGACAACAACUACACUUGAUCUUACUGCUUUUCAUAUAUAUUCAGUUGCCCACAUGUAUUCCCCAUUCUCCAGUCAUUAAAGCAUAAAGUAAAGGUCUGUGAAAAAAGCAAGUCUAGUUCACUUGUAAUUAACCCUUUUAAAAAAAUGAAUUACAAGGAUGCCUGGAUGGCUCAGUGGUUGAGAGCCUGCCUUCGGCUCAGGGCCUCAUCCCCGGAUCUGGGAUGGAGUCCCAUAUCGGGCUCCCUGCACGGAGCCUGCUUCUCCCUCUGCCUGUGUCUCUGCCUCUCUCUCUCUUUGUGUAUCUCAUGAAUAAAUAAAUCUUUGGGAAAAAAAAGAAUUACAGAUUUAAUGUGUGAUAAUUGGUUGGAAUAUUUUAAGGUCUUUGUGAAAAGAAUGUUGUUUUCCGAAGAGAAAAAUUUUUGUCUAAUUUAUAUUUGUCUAUUUAUAUUUGACAGAGAGUCUAGUCCUCAUUUGUGGUCAAAGCUCUUUGUCUUGUGAUUUUAUUUUCUUGCUAUUUAAGAGUUAAAUUUUGAGGCCAUGUAAAAAUGGCCUUUAUUGGGGGCACUUGGGUGGUUCAGUCAGUUAAGCAUUCAACUCUUCAUUUUAGCUCAGAUCAGUUAUCUCAGGGUUGUAAGAUUAAGUCCCACAUGGAGCCCUGAGUCAGGCUUAUUGCUGGGCAUGAAGCCUGCUUAAGAUUCUCUUCUGGGCAGCCCAGGUGGCUCAGCGGUUUAGUACCACCCUCAGCCCAGGGCCUGAUCCUAGAGACCCAGGAUCGAGUCCCAUGUCAGGCCCCGUAUGGAGCCUGCUUCUCCCUCUCCCUUUGCCUCUACCUCUCUCUGUGUGUCUCUCAUGAAUAAGUAAAUAAAAUCUUUAAAAAAAUAUAUUUUCUUCCUUGCAGGGCACCUGGGUGGCUCAGUGUUUGAGCAUCUGCCUUUAGCUCAAGUUGUGAUCCUGGGGUCCUGGAAUCAAGUCCUGCAUCAGGCUCCUUGCAGGGAGCCUGCUUCUCCCUCUGCCUAUGUCUCUGCCUCUCUCUCUAUGUCUCAUGAAUAAAUAAAUAAAAUCUUUAAAAAAAAAUUCUUGCUUGCUUUCUGCCCCUCCCCCAACUAUCUCUCUUAAAAAACAAAACAAACAAAAAGCCUU